CACCUCCAAAACACCUUCAUCCCCUUUCAGAAACCCUUGAAAGCUCACUCACUGCGCCGUCGCGAAGUAGAAACCUUGCCUCCAAAGCUCACCAUCGUCGCCCCCCACUCACUUUCUUCACUCUCGCCAUUGACCCUGUCACUCUCGCUCUCGUCAUUGACCCUCUCAUUCUCGCCAUUGACCCUCUCACUACAACAAGAAGAAACCCUCUCACUCUGGCCAUUGACAUCGUCGCCCCCCACUCACCACUCUCCACAUUGUUGCACUACUGACCGUCGCUCCUCUUUCCCAUCUUGCACUGAUCGUCGCUGCGCCGCCCUCAUCAUCGUCGCUGCGUCGCCCUCACCAUCGUCAUCACCCCCAAAUAAGAGAAAAGCGUUUGCCAUCACCACUCACCACUCACGGCUCCAGGAAGACUCUGCGCUCACUCAUCUUCCCCACUCAUCUUCAUCAUCGCUUCUCUUCGCUUCGCAGUCACAUAACGAAGACUCUGUGCUCAACUGAAAGCUUUCUUCAUUUGCGAGGAGAACUCAUGAAUUUAGGGGUUUUAUUCCAUUAACACAGCACCACCAGUGUUUGCUGUUUUUGCCGCCACUCCUCUGUUUUGCAGCCUCUGAGCCGCGAACUCCAUCGCCGGUUCCAUCUUCACCUGGCCGUCGAACACCCUUCACUUACACCACGAGGACCACGACUCGCCUUUUGCCUUCUUACAUAGAUAUCAUUGGAUUGAAGGUGGAAGUUUUUGGUUAUGGUCUUCCAAGCAGAUUUUGUGGAAACGUUGACCGUGUCAUGGCAAGGGUAACAAUGAAGAUUAAGCAAUGAAGAUUAAGCUGACUAUUAUUGUGGUUUAUUGGCUAAGAUAGAGUGCUAUUUAGAAUCUUUACAUGUAUGGUUGACUAAUGACUUUUAUUAGGAGAUACUUUUAUUGGCUAAGUGAUAUUAUGGUUUUGAUAUGGCUAUGCUUACUUUAGUGUGAGGUGUAUGAAUUUUUACAGUUAACUUUAUUCUAGUACUUUUGGAUCAAUAUUAAUAUAUUUUGG